rnacentral:tRNA from 1 species
GUGGAUGUAGCUCAGUUGGCAAAGUGCUUGCCUUGCAUGCACAAGGCCCUGGGUUCAAUCCCCAGCACCCCCU